AUUCUAACAAUCUUUUUCAAGAAUGUAGAGAGCAACUCGCUCUGUCAAACAACACCCUUUUUUCAAGAACUUAGAGUGCAACUCGCUCUGUUAAAAGCAUAGUGUAUGGCAUGUUUAAUUUCUUUUAAAUUACCUAAGGGUUUAUGCAACCCAAUAGUUAACCAUUUUGUCUUUGUGUUGUCAUUCCCUGGAUUCCACCAAUAAUGCUAGUUUGUUGUUUAUAAAUCAUGUGCAAUGAAAAGGGACAUUUUGUAAAACAUGGAAAUAUUUUAAAUCUG
rnacentral:lncRNA from 1 species